rnacentral:lncRNA from 1 species
UACCUCCCUCCUACCUCUUUAUCCCAUUUCUAUUAUUGGCUAUUGCUUUCACUGCUGGUUACUCUUUCAUAUAUAAUAGACAGAGGGUCAUUUUGUUGCUGUAGUGAACAAGGUAAGAUUUUUUGUUGUUUCAUUUGUCUAUCUGUUAUAUUUAAAUACUAUUGUCGUGGAAUGCCCUUUUCAUUUGAAACGUUCGUACUUCAAAUUGGUGCAGGUUUGUUAUGGUUUAAAACUCCAGUUUUCUUGGUCAU